GACGAAGGUGGCUAGCGUUGCUCGGAAUUACUGGGCCUAAAGCGCGCGUAGGUGGUCCUGUAAGCGGGGGAUGAAAGCCCAUGGCUCACCCAUGGAACUGUCCUUCGGACUGCAGGGCUGGAGGGCGGGAGGGGAGAAUGGAAUUCCCGGUGUAGCGGUGAAAUGCGUAGAUAUCGGGAGGAACGCCGGUGGCGAAAGCGAUUCUCUGGCCCGUUCCUGACACUGAGGCGCGAGAGCUAGGGGAGCAAACAGG
rnacentral:rRNA from 1 species